UCAGAUCAGAGACUGAUGGCACCUUUGCUGGCUGUGACAGUGUCUAUGAUCAGAGACUGAUGGCACCUUUGCUGGCUGCCCAGUGUCUCAGAUCAGAGACUGAUGGCACCUUUGCUGGUUGUGACAGUGUCUCUGCUCAGAGACUGAUGGCACCUUGGCUUGUUGUGACAGUGUCUCAGAUCAGAGACUGAUGGCACCUUGGCUGGCUGUGAUAGUGUCUAUGAUCAGAGACUGAUGGCACCUUGGCUGGCUGCGCAGUGUCUCAGAUCAGAGACUGAUGGCACCUUGGCUGGGUGUGACAGUGUCUCUGCUCAGAGACUGAUGGUACCUUGGCUUGUUGUGACAGUGUCUAUGAUCAGAGACUGAUGGCACCUUGGCUGGUUGUGAUGGUACCUUGGCUAGUUGCAACAGUAUCUUUGACCAAAGACUGUGUAGGAAUAUCGACGUUGUUGGUAGUUCCCGUGGCGAGGGCGGUAACGACGAUUUCAGCACGAAUUUAGUUAGUUUUGCUUGUUGCGCAGUGCGAGUCGUAUCGGUCGUCUGUGAAAAACCGGCGGUCAUCUGUUCUGCUAAUACAGUCUUUGUUUUUGCAAGGCCAACUCUUCGACGCACUCGAAUAAUGCGGCCAACUCUUCGACGCACUCGAAUAAUGCGGUGUAUGUUUGUAAUUUUGCGCAAAAUGUUGCUUUUGAAAGGUGUUGCAUAUAUAUCGGAGGAGACUUGGCGAUAUGAAAAAUGAAGUGCUAAUUCCUUCUACUAUUAGGCAGGUUUCGAUACCCUUAGGAAGAUCUGUGAAGGACGAUGUAUGAGGUGCAUGUAUGUAAAUGUACUCUAUAGACGACUUUUAAAAAACGCGCUUUCCGGAUUACUCGACACGUCUUGCUGAGUAUGAAUAAGCACUGGACUUUAGUUGAUGACACGACAUACGUUCGUAGUCGGCGUACUUCGUCGUUCGUUCAUGAGGGUUGCUAAACCUGCCUAUUGACUCAUUUUCCAUUCGAUUUUAAGACCUGAAACUGACCACAUGUUAUAGUGUUAGGUGGCUCCGGACACAAUACCGUGAAGUGAAAUAUGAAAUCGAAUUCAAUGAGUGUGCUUCUAUUCAUGAAGUAUUAUUACCCAAAAGGCCUUGUCAUCCCAUUAAUCAACCAACCAAUGGCCGGCCAUGGCCAGGGUCACAUGACCUGCCAGCGUGGCACCAAGGAAUAUUCCAGCAAGGAAAGCGGCCAUGAUUUUACACACGUGGAGCGGAUUUUUCGAUUUGUUACCGACUCGACCGAAAAUAGCACUUUAUUCAGGUAUGUUCUUAUAAACUAACUAUCACAUUUUAUGGAGUAAUCUGAAAAGUCUGUCCUUAUUUCUUUUGACAAAGAAAUAUUCGCUAAAAAUGUACAUGUAUAUAGAAUGUAUCUGAGAAUCCAAUGGCCGACAAUAUGGAUGUUACCGGCCCGUACCAUUAUACCGACACCAUGCCCAGCCGAAGAGAGCAAAAUGGACUUCUACAGAAUUACCUUCUUCCCAUAUCUUCUGAGUUUAAUUAGAAGCAGAAUGCUAAUUAACACAUUACCAAAUACCAGUCAAAUAUCAGUAUUUGAAUUGUUAUUUUGAAAACUUUUUACAACGACAAGAAAAUGGUCGAGGCCGGGAGGGCUUGGCGUGUGGCUUUUGGCCGGGUCAAAAGACCCAAAACAACGGUUGGCAUCGCACCAAUCGGAGGUGGUCGCUCAGAGCCAAAACCAACCUAAAUAUAGGCAAGGUGAACACAAGAACACGUGGCCGGUGUAGAAGUAGAAAAUGUCCCCCUUGAAAAAGUGUCCUGCAUUAUUGUAUUCUGACCGAUUAUGAUAUGGUUCUAUAGAGACUAUGACAGGGAGGAGACUGAAGUCCAUAACAGAAUUUUGAUUUUUUUUAUUUCAGUGAUGACCAUAUGUUACCCCAGUCUAUGAUGUACGAGAUUUCAGCAACCGUCCUACCUUGGUCCAUGGUGUACGGAAUGUCCGCUCAUUCCUUUUAAAUACUGAUGGCAUCCUUGAUGAUGUUGAUUUCGUCCAGACGAUGGCGAAGAAAGUCCAAGGCAAGGACUGUGUAUACGCUUUCGCACGCUUGCUCUUUUGACGAUUAGCCGAUAACGAAUGGGAUGCCUGUACUCUUCAAUGGUAUCUGUCGAACGCCAAUGAUGAUCGGGGAUGGGCAUCCCUCCUGUUUGUUGAUUCCUCCAAAACCUGGGAAACGAUUCAAAGCAGCGGGCAUAAUAGUAAAUGAUUGAACCGCAUACACACCACGCGUCAAUGAAGACAACCGCCAUCUCGAAGGAGGAGGAAAACCGUGAUGGAAUCUUCGCUCACAGCUGAACAACAUUUGAUCAGUUCUUCAGGCAAGACCUACUCUUUGUAAAACUGCCAGCCAAACACUGGUUACACUUGUCAACGGUUCUGCCACAAAUUAUUACAAAUAGUUUUACAAGUUAAUACGACGCGACAGGCUUUUAAGCGUUGCUUUUACACAAGACAAGAUUUUAUUCGAACAGAAAAAGUUGUUAAGCAGAGCAGAAACAUGACAAGUGCAACUAGAUACUAGUGAGGUUUCGCAUCCUUAAGAUAUAAAUCUACGUUUACGCUUUGAAAUUUUAAAAUCGUAACGAAUUUUAGCUCUUCUGGUUAAAAGGAACCGAUUUCACAAUGUUGCGAAGGGUGCGCAUAACCCUCAGUGCAGAAAACUGCCCAAUAUGUAUGUGCGUCACACAGGCGUUUUGGAAACGUAAACGUGAUUGCGAAACCUCCCUAUUUUCCAAUACAUGACACCUGACAAGAACCUGGAGAGGGUUAAACUUAUAUUGAAGUUUAUUUGGGGGGGGAUGAAAUUAUUCGAAAAAUGUUGAACCGAUUUCACAAUGUUGCGAAGGGUGUGCAUAACCCUCAGUGCAGAAAACUGCCCAACAUGUAUGUGCGUCACACAGGCGUUUUGGAAACGUAAACGUGAUUGCGAAACCUCCCUAUUUUCCAAUACAUGACACCUGACAAGAACCUGGAGAGGGUUCAACUUAUAUUGAAGUUUAUUUGGGGGGGAUGAAAUUAUUGGAAAAAUGUUUAAUUCAUCAUACUUUUAAUGAUACCUUUUCAUGAAGCUUUUUUCCUCUAUUGGUGUAAGAAAAAAUACUUUAAAAGAAAAGUUUCUUUGCUUCUGGUAUCUUUCGCAAUAACACCUGUUUUGCUGUUGAAAGUUUUAAAGCUUUUCGUAUUAAAAAAGUGAAAAAAAGUGUUAGAGGCUGACGGGAUUCGAACCCAAGACCUCUUGGUGGUAAGCCACACGCUCUAACCACUACUCCACCAAGCCACACUCUAAGUAGAGCUGCAAAAGAGCGACUCACUGAAGUUAAGGCCAGACGGCUCAUUGAAGAUUUAUGGUGCAUUGGUUGAAUAGGCAGGUUACGAGAUCCUUUGUCAAAUAAGGUGUGUCCAUUUCUUCUGCAACAACACACAAUUUGUAGAUUUAAUUGAAUGAGACGUAGGCCUAUUACACAGCAAUACAUUGUACUGAAUUAGAUUUAGAUGGAUUGAACUGAUUCAAACUAUGUAAGAAAUACUUUAAUCUCACUUCUAUAAGACCAUCUUAUCGAAAGUUAUUAUCAUUUUUUUCAGUACCGGAUACCGGGUGUUCGGUAUUGCUUAUUCAUGGGGAGGGGCGGGGCGGGAGCUAC